GAUCAUGUUCUAUGUGAGCUCCCGGGGCUUUGCUUUUUGAUCUCUUCUUUGCUUCUCUUCUUGCCUAGAAUCCCCACCGAGCAGGUGUCUCAGUCUUACUCCCUCCGGCCAAGGCCAGACCCGCCUCUGCUGGCUGCCCAGCUCCCUCUCCUCCACAAGGCUCAUGGGGCAGCUAACUCUCUCUCUCCCUCUCCCUGUCUCUGUCUGCAUCUCUGUCUGUCUGUCUGUCUCUCUGCCUCUGUCUGUCUCACUCUGCGUCCCUGUCUGUCUGUCCCUCUCUCUCUCAUCUAUCUGUCUCUCUCUCCCUCUCUCUCUGGGUUCCAUACCAGGGUGCUGCACUCCCCACCACUCCAGAGCCCCGGGGACAGCAGACGCUGGAAAAAGAAACAGUCACUCCAAGUCCCAGCCGUGAACUGUUAUUGCUGGAUUCCGGAUUUCCUGCACAUCCCAUAUUUACUUCUCUCCCUCUGCUCCCACCAGGUGGCCAUCCGGCGCAGGCCCCGGCUCUACGUCCUACACCUCCUCGUCCCCAGCGGCUUCCUGGUGGCCAUCGACGCCCUCAGCUCCUACCUGCCUGCAGAAAACGUGCACCGCGCCCCCUUCAGGAUGGCCCUGCUGCUGGGCUACAAUGUCUUCCUGCUCCUGAUGAACGACUUACUCCCCUUCGGCGGCAGCCCCCUCAUCAGUAGGGCCCCUUGCUCUCUCCGAGGAAGCAAAGGCGGCGGGGAGCCAACAGGGGUCCGGGAGGACAGACUGCAUCUGGGAAGGGGCUGUGAGCCAAGUCCGACGCCAAGCUGCUCUUCCCGCAGGCGUCUACUUCGCCCUGAGUCUGUCCCUGAUGGUGGCCGGCCUGCUGGAGACCAUGCCUCGCCGGGCGGGGAGACUCGGCGGCGAAGGCGCCAGGCCCCCAACAGACAGAGCCGAGUGGGUGCGCCCAGCCAGCGGGCGCCCGGUGGGAGCCGGAGGCGGUGGAGCUGUGGGUGCCGCGCAGCCUCCUGCCGGACACCCUGCUCUUCCGCCUCUACCUGCUCUUCCCGGCCGCCUCCGUCCUCACCGCACUGUCCUCUGGAGCACCUAGGCACCUAGGCGUGACGGCUGUGUGCGCCUCCCGUGCAGCUCCGGGGCGCCUCUGGCUCCCAAGCCGCCAGCCAGGCCGCUGACCCUUCCGUCCUUCGCAUGCUCGCGGAUGACAGAGUCCCUGCUGCCCUCCACCGACGCGAGUCCGGGCCUGCUGCUCAGUGUCAUCCUCUCCUGGACAUGGUGCCCUGGUCCCUGCGUUUCCAGAGCACCUUCAGCCUGUCCACCUGGGUCUGGGUAGACCUCUCUGCCCCAGGACUGGCCCCUG
rnacentral:lncRNA from 1 species